rnacentral:rRNA from 1 species
UACGUAGGGUGCAAGCGUUGUCCGGAAUUAUUGGGCGUAAAGAGCUCGUAGGCGGUUUGUCGCGUCUGCUGUGAAAACUCGGGGCUUAACCCCGGGCCUGCAGUGGGUACGGGCAGACUAGAGUGCGGUAGGGGAGACUGGAAUUCCUGGUGUAGCGGUGAAAUGCGUAGAUAUUGGGAGGAACACCAGUGGCGAAGGCGGCUCACUGGACCGGAACUGACGCUGAGGCGCGAAAGCGUGGGGAGCAAACAGG